GACGAACGCUGGCGGCGUGCUUAACACAUGCAAGUCGGACGAUGAACUUGGAGCUUGCUCUGGGGGAUUAGUGGCGAACGGGUGAGUAACACGUGAGUAACCUGCCCUGGACUCUGGGAUAACUUCGAGAAAUCGGAGCUAAUACCGGAUAGGACCUUGCACCGCAUGGUGUGGGGUGGAAAGUUUUUCGGUUUGGGAUGGACUCGCGGCCUAUCAGCUUGUUGGUGAGGUAAUGGCUCACCAAGGCGUCGACGGGUAGCCGGCCUGAGAGGGUGACCGGCCACACUGGGACUGAGACACGGCCCAGACUCCUACGGGAGGCAGCAGUGGGGAAUAUUGCACAAUGGGCGCAAGCCUGAUGCAGCAACGCCGCGUGCGGGAUGACGGCCUUCGGGUUGUAAACCGCUUUUAGUAGGGAAGAAGCCUUCGGGUGACGGUACCUGCAGAAAAAGGACCAGCUAACUACGUGCCAGCAGCCGCGGUAAUAC
rnacentral:rRNA from 1 species